rnacentral:rRNA from 1 species
AGGACGAACGCUGGCGGCGUGCCUAACACAUGCAAGUCGAGCGGAGAUAGACUGAUGGUAACUGAAGUUUGUCUUAGCGGCGGACGGGUGAGUAACACGUGGGCAACCUGCCUUGGAGUGGGGGAUAACACCGGGAAAUCGGUGCUAAUACCGCAUAACAUACACAAACUGCAUGGUAAGUGUAUCAAAGGAGCAAUCCGCUUUAAGAUGGGCCCGCGGCUGAUUAGCUAGUUGGUAAGGUAACGGCUUACCAAGGCGACGAUCAGUAGCCGACCUGAGAGGGUGACCGGCCACACUGGAACUGAGACACGGUCCAGACUCCUACGGGAGGCAGCAGUGGGGAAUAUUGCGCAAUGGGGGAAACCCUGACGCAGCAACGCCGCGUGGAGGAAGAAGGUCUUCGGAUUGUAAACUCCUGUCUUCUGGGACGAAGUAUGACGGUACCAGAGGAGGAAGCCACGGCUAACUACGUG